rnacentral:lncRNA from 1 species
GAAAGAUCAAAGUUUAAUCCUAAGUCUGAAACAUCUUCAGUUUUCACAAUUUCAAUGUCAAAAUCAACACUAACAUGUGAAUCUUUAGCAGUAUGAAGAAUAUUUGAAUGCAUAAACAACUCAGGCAAAGCAAGUGGGAUUUCAAGUUUAGAGAAAACCUGUGUUGAUUCAUGAUUCAUCUCACCAGUAACAGCAGAAUGAGCAACUGCAUCCUCAGGUGCAAGAGUGGAAGCAUAGGAGGGUGGGGAAGUAGAUUGUGUAGUAGUGAGCUCAUGACUCUGCUCCCCAUCUCCUAUGUGAAUGGAACUGACAUCAUCAAGAAUUGGAAUAGUCUGAAAUGGUGAUCCUUCUAAAAAUUGAGAUUGUUCCUCGGUGCACUGCGCGGCUUUCUGCCUCCAAAACUCGUUCAAUGUAGGCCCAGAAAAACUAGAAGAUUUGACAAGUGCC